rnacentral:rRNA from 1 species
AGAGUUUGAUCCUGGCUCAGAACGAACGCUGGCGGCAUGCCUAACACAUGCAAGUCGAACGAAGCCUUCGGGCUUAGUGGCGCACGGGUGCGUAACGCGUGGGAAUCUGCCCUUAGGUACGGAAUAACUCAGGGAAACUUGUGCUAAUACCGUAUGAUGUCGAGAGGACCAAAGAUUUAUCGCCUAGGGAUGAGCCCGCGUAGGAUUAGCUAGUUGGUGGGGUAAAGGCCUACCAAGGCGACGAUCCUUAGCUGGUCUGAGAGGAUGAUCAGCCACACUGGGACUGAGACACGGCCCAGACUCCUACGGGAGGCAGCAGUGGGGAAUAUUGGACAAUGGGCGAAAGCCUGAUCCAGCAAUGCCGCGUGAGUGAUGAAGGCCUUAGGGUUGUAAAGCUCUUUUACCAGGGAUGAUAAUGACAGUACCUGGAGAAUAAGCUCCGGCUAACUCCGUG